UGGGGAAUAUUGCACAAUGGAGGAAACUCUGAUGCAGCGACGCCGCGUGAAGGAUGAAGUAUUUCGGUAUGUAAACUUCUAUCAGCAGGGAAGAAAAUGACGGUACCUGACUAAGAAGCCCCGGCUAACUACGUGCCAGCAGCCGCGGUAAUACGUAGGGGGCAAGCGUUAUCCGGAUUUACUGGGUGUAAAGGGAGCGUAGACGGCACGGCAAGCCAGAUGUGAAAGCCCGGGGCUCAACCCCGGGACUGCAUUUGGAACUGCUGAGCUAGAGUGUCGGAGAGGCAAGUGGAAUUCCUAGUGUAGCGGUGAAAUGCGUAGAUAUUAGGAGGAACACCGGUGGCGAAGGCGGCUUGCUGGACGAUGACUGACGUUGAGGCUCGAAAGCGUGGGGAGCAAACAGG
rnacentral:rRNA from 1 species